UACGUAGGGGGCUAGCGUUGUCCGGAUUUAUUGGGCGUAAAGAGCUCGUAGGCGGUUUGGUGAGUCGGAUGUGAAAUCUCCAGGCUCAACUUGGAGGGGUCAUCCGAUACUGCCAUGACUAGAGUUCGGUAGAGGAGUGUGGAAUUCCUGGUGGAGCGGUGAAAUGCGCAGAUAUCAGGAGGAACACCGGUGGCGAAGGCGGGUCUCUGGGCAGUAACUGACGCUGAGGAGCGAAAGCGUGGGGAGCGAACAGG
rnacentral:rRNA from 1 species